GACGGAGGGUGCAAGCGUUGUUCGGAAUCACUGGGCGUAAAGCGCGUGUAGGCGGUCCGAAAAGUCGAGUGUGAAAUCCCGAGGCUCAACCUCGGAAGUGCAUUCGAAACUCUCGGGCUUGAGUACUGGAGAGGGAAGCGGAAUUCCUGGUGUAGAGGUGAAAUUCGUAGAUAUCAGGAGGAACACCGGUGGCGAAGGCGGCUUCCUGGACAGAUACUGACGCUGAGACGCGAAAGCGUGGGGAG
rnacentral:rRNA from 1 species